rnacentral:rRNA from 1 species
GGCGAACGCUGGCGGCGUGCCUAAUACAUGCAAGUAGAACGCUGAAGAGAGGAGCUUGCUCUUCUUGGAUGAGUUGCGAACGGGUGAGUAACGCGUAGGUAACCUGCCUGGUAGCGGGGGAUAACUAUUGGAAACGAUAGCUAAUACCGCAUAAAAUUGAUUAUUGCAUGAUAAUUAAUUGAAAGAUGCAACUGCAUCACUACCAGAUGGACCUGCGUUGUAUUAGCUAGUUGGUGAGGUAACGGCUCACCAAGGCGACGAUACAUAGCCGACCUGAGAGGGUGAUCGGCCACACUGGGACUGAGACACGGCCCAGACUCCUACGGGAGGCAGCAGUAGGGAAUCUUCGGCAAUGGGGGGAACCCUGACCGAGCAACGCCGCGUGAGUGAAGAAGGUUUUCGGAUCGUAAAGCUCUGUUGUAAGAGAAGAACGGGUGUGAGAGUGAAAAGUUCACACUGUGACGGUAGCUUACCAGAAAGGGACGGCUAACUACGUG